CAGACUUCUAAAGAACAACAAUGGAGAUGCAUCUGUGUGCCUGCUGGGUUGUUUUAUGGCUGUAUUUUCAGUGGGCUGCUGGCAAGACCCAAGUGGAGCAGAGUCCCAAGUCCCUGGUUGUCCUGCAAGGAGAGAACUGCAUCCUUCAUUGCAAUUACACUGUGAGCCCUGCUAACAACUUAAGGUGGUACAGACAAGACACAGGCAGAGGGGUGAGCAGCCAGCAGAAGUUGCAGCAGAACCCGGAAUUCCUCAUUGUCCCAGAAGGAACCAUGGCUUCUUUCAACUGCACUUUCAGUGAUGGCAAUUCUGAUAACUUCAGGUGGUACAGACAGCAGCCUGGGAAAGGCCCCGAGUUGCUCACGUCUAUAUUCUCUAGUGGAGAAAAAGAAGAAGGUAGAUUCACCAUUCACCUCAACAAAGACAGCAGGCAUGUUUCUCUGCACAUCAAAGUCUCCCAGCCCAGUGAUUCAGCUGUCUAUUUUUGUGCAGUGAUAACACAGUGCUUCCCAGGCACCUAG